rnacentral:rRNA from 1 species
GUAGACGCUAUACUCUAAGAUUAACCCAUGCAUGUUUAUUGAAUAUAAAGAAAAGACGAACAGCUCAGUAACUCUUAUUUGAUUUGAUGUAUUAGGAUUAUAACUAUGUUAAAUUAUAGGUAACAAUAAUACAAUAAGAAUAAGAUCUAUCAGUUAGUUGUUAAGGUAAUGGCUUAACAAGACUAUGACGGAUAACGGUAUUACUUUGUAAUAUUCCGGAGAAGGAGCCUGAGAGAUUGCUACUAAGUCUAAGGAUUACAGCAGGGGCGAAACUUGACCUAUGAUAUUAUAUUGAGGCAGUUAUGAGUAGUAUUUUAUAAUUAUUGUAGUAAUGUAAGUACAUAUUACAAGAUAAAUCGGAGGGCAAAUCGAGUGCCAGCAGCCGCGGUAAUACUUGUUCCGAUAGUGUGUAUGAUGAUUGAUGCAGUUAAAAAGUCUGUAGUUUAUUUUAUAAUAAGCAUUGUAAGGUAUACUGUAUGGUUAGGAGAGAGAUGAAAUGUGAUAACCCUAACUGGAUGAACAGAAGCGAAAGCUGUAUACUUAAAUGUAUUAUUAGAACAAGGACGUAAGCUAGAGGAUCGAAGAUGAUUAGAUACCAUUGUAGUUCUAGCAGUAAACUAUGUUGAAUCAUAGAUAUAUUUUGAUAUAUAUUUAUGUAGAGAAAUUAAGAUUAUAUUGACUCUGGGGAUAGUAUGAUCGCAAGAUUGAAAAUUAAAGAAAUUGACGGAAGAAUACCACAAGGAGUGGAUUGUGUGGCUUAAUUUGACUCAACGCGGGGUAAUUUACCAGGUAUAACAUGGUAUAAUAUUUUAUCAUGGUAGUGGUGCAUGGCCGUUUCCAAUGGAUGCUGUGAAGUAAUGAUUAAUUUCAACAAGAUGUGAGACCCUCAUUUAGACAGAUGUAGUGAUACAUAUGAAGGAGAGGAUUAAAACAGGUCCGUUAUGCCCUAAGAUAAUCUGGGUUGCACGCGCAAUACAAUAAUAUUUGAUAUUAUAAGGGAUAAUAUAAUGUAAGAUAUAUUUGAACAUGGAAUUGCUAGUAAAUUUUAUUUAAUAAGUAGAAUUGAAUGAGUCCCUGUUCUUUGUACACACCGCCCGUCGCUAUCUAAGAUGGUAUUAUCUAUGAACAAAUUUAUAAAGUGAAUAGAUAGUACUAGAUCUGAUAU